ensembl:snRNA U6 U6 spliceosomal RNA
AUGUGUCAGCUAAUACAAAAAUAUGUGAUUGCUACGGAUCAUUACAGAGAAGAUUAGCAUGGCCUUGCGAAAGGAUGACACACAAAUCUGUGAAGCACUCCAUUGUUUU